CAUGCUGAAAAAAAAAAAAAAAAAAAAAAAAAAAAAAAAA
rnacentral:ribozyme from 13 species